AGUAAAAUAAGCUAAUUUUUAAGCUAUUGGGCUCAUAACCCAAAAAUGGGAUACCUUUUACUA
rnacentral:tRNA from 1 species